ensembl:lncRNA
AUUUCAGACAAGCUCUCAAGUGAGGCUGACACUGCUGGCCCAAGGAUAAGAAUUCAUUGUUUUGCCUAAUAAGUCAUCUCAACAAAUAGCCAAUCCCUGAAGCAUUGACCUUCAUAGCUGUUUCUGCCAGACAACCUUUUAUUACCUCAGAAAAGCAAUGCCCAGAUAACCUGAAGAAGCCUAAGAUGUUACCCAUACAUCCUGGAUCAACAUAGCUUCUGGCUUUGCUUUCCCAGUUUCUCUCCAAUCAAGACAACAGGAAAGAAUAUUUAAAAGAAAAGGGAAAGUGAAGGGCAAGGGGAAGAGUAGACCAGACUCUCCAAGGAAAACUCCUCCACAGCCAGUUCUCCGUGCAAGCGCGUCCACACUAAGCCCACGAGCAUUCAGUCCUUUUGUUCCUAUUUUUCCACAACCUCACCAUUCUAAGGGUGGUGUCCGGAGCAGCAGAAUCGGCACCACCUGGCGUCUCCUUAGAACUAUAGAAUCUC